rnacentral:misc_RNA from 1 species
GUAGGUGAACCUGCGGAAGGAUCAUUACCAAAUCCAAAUACCCAAACCCCAUGUGAACUAUUGUAUAGUCUGUCUUUGGGAGAAAAAUGAAAAAUAUUGGUAAAAAACUUCGGUUUUUGUCUUGUAUUUGAAAAUUUUCUCCCAAUAGAGUCCGGCGCAACUGUAUUGUUGUGUCCAGAUUCGAAACCCCCUUUAAACCACUUGAUUUUUCUGUUGGAAUUUACUUUUAUUAAUUUUAAAUAAAAGACAACUUUUAACGGUGGAUCUCUUGGCUCGU